CGGCGAGUGAAGAGGGAUUAGCCCAGCACCGAAACCUGUGGUCGAUUGACUACUAGGUAAUGUGGUGUUUAGGCGGAUUCUUGGUGUCACUGCUCCAUUCUAAGUCCAAUAAUGAGUACGGCAAUUGGACCGGCCCACAGAGGGUGAAAGGCCCGUGUGAGUGGAGUCAGUGGUGCCCUGAGUUUGUCUUGGAGUCGGGUUGUUUGUGAAUGCAGCCCAAAGUAGGUGGUAAACUCCAUCUAAGGCUAAAUACUGGCACGAGUCCGAUAGCGAACAAGUACCGUGAGGGAAAGUUGAAAAGUACUUUGAAGAGAGAGUAAACAGUGCGUGAAACCGCUCAAAGGUAAACGGGUGGAGUUGAACUGGAGGCCUGGAGGAUUCAGCUGAUGAGUAUGGUUUGUGCUUGGACAUUGUGGUCGGUUCCUGGGGUCCAAUGUAAUUGGGGGUCCUUACUUUCAAGUAGGGAUGCAUGGUGCACUUAUCAUGUGCCAUGCGCCUUGGGUGUCCGGGCCAACUUGUCAGUGCAUUUUCUCUGGGUAGUCACCACGACCGGCAUUGCUGCUUGUCUGUUGUAGCUGAACCGUUCAGGUUUGGUCAUUUGGCUAGGCUUGGAUGGUAUGGCAGGUAGCCUGUUGAUCCGCAAGGGUUGAUCGGUGUAAUUAGUUGGUUAUGAUGGAUCAGUGCGCGAUGCCGGAGUUGGCGGCCAAUGUUUGCGUGCGUGCUUUGUUCGGCAGGCAUGACCGGGUUCGGUAGGCAUGUUACCUGUACUAAUGGGUCUGUCUAUGGCUUGGUUUUGUUAUGCUGGCGGUUGCGUGCGUGGCAUGUAAUUAUGGGCCUAUAGUCUGUGGUGUAGUUGUAGAUUUUCCACCCGACCCGUCUUGAAACACGGACCAAGGAGUUUAACAUGUACGCGAGUCAUUGGGCUUUACGAAACCCAUAGGCGUAGUGAAAAUGAAGGCUUGGCUUGUCCGAGCUAAGGCGAGAUCCUGCUGUUUCCUCUGUCUUGGACUACCAAGCAUUCGAGCAGUGGGCGCACCGUCAGCCCGUCCCAUGACGUAGCCAUAUAGUCUUGUACUGUGUGCACCGUCGGGGCGGAGCCAGAGCGUGUAUGUUGAGACCCGAAAGAUGGUGAACUAUGCUUGCUAAAGUUGAAGCCAGAGGAAACUCUGGUGGAGGACUGUAGCGAUUCUGACGUGCAAAUCGAUCGUCUGACGUGAGUAUAGGGGCGAAAGACUAAUCGAACCAUCUAGUAGCUGGUUCCCUCCGAAGUUUCCCUCAGGAUAGCUGGCAUUUGUACGGUAAAACAGUUUUACCCGGUAAAGCGAAUGAUUAGAGGUGUUGGGGAUAAAACAUCCUCGCCCUAUUAUCAAACUCUAAAUGGGUGAGAAGCUUGGCUCGCUUAAUUGGAGUCAGGCGUUGAAUGUGAGUGCCAAGUGGGCCAUUUUUGGUAAGCAGAACUGGCGCUGUGGGAUGAACCAAACGCUUGAUUAAGGUGCCUAACGUGACGCUCAUGAGAUACCACAAAAGGUGUUGGUUGGUAUAGACAGCAGGACGGUGGCCAUGGAAGUCGGAAACCGCUAAGGAG
rnacentral:rRNA from 1 species